GUUUAAAUAGCUUAAAAAGAGUAUAACAUUGAAGAUGUUAGGGUGAUAGUUUAUCUUUAAAUA
rnacentral:tRNA from 3 species